CUCGGCAAGCACUAGGAGCAUCGAUUGGCGGAGGUACUCGGUCGGAGUGCCAGCGGGUCUGUCACAAUUGGUGGCAGCGACGGGAUUCAAACCUCACAGCAGACCGUUGUUUGGCAGUUACAGCCAUUUGGGAAAUUUGCUAUUUCGUAUGGAACCGAAAGGAAAGGGUAUGUGAAUAUACCCGAACGGAUAGUGAAUGGGGACAGACUAUACCAACUUGAAAAGGGCCACGCUAAA